ACGAACGCUGGCGGCGUGCUUAACACGUGCAAGUCGCACGGAAAGGCCCUGCUUUUGUGGGGUGCUCGCGUGGCGAACGGGUGAGUAACACGUGAGUAACCUGCCCUUGACUUUGGGAUAACUUCAGGAAACUGGGGCUAAUACCGGAUAGGAGCUCCUGCUGCAUGGUGGGGGUUGGAAAGUUUCGGCGGUUGGGGAUGGACUCGCGGCUUAUCAGCUUGUUGGUGGGGUAGUGGCUUACCAAGGCUUUGACGGGUAGCCGGCCUGAGAGGGUGACCGGCCACAUUGGGACUGAGAUACGGCCCAGACUCCUACGGGAGGCAGCAGUGGGGAAUAUUGCACAAUGGGCGGAAGCCUGAUGCAGCAACGCCGCGUGCGGGAUGACGGCCUUCGGGUUGUAAACCGCUUUCGCCUGUGACGAAGCGUGAGUGACGGUAAUGGGUAAAGAAGCACCGGCUAACUACGUG
rnacentral:rRNA from 1 species